UUUUUUUUUCUCUUUCUUCAAUUUUCUUUUUCUCUCGCUGAAGAGAAGUCUUCUGACGAAUCGUGAGAAAAUUUGGAUUCAAACUAAUCUUGAGGGUUUUGUGAUUUUUGUUUGAUUUGGGCAUGAAACUAGUACAAUCGCUGGACUUCUUCUGCUUCUUCGUGUUGAUCUAGGGCUGUUUGGUUUGAUUCGGUUCAAUCGGUUGGGUUUUUUUUUUUCUUCUUUUUCUGAUCUCUUCGUGAUUUUGUUUAGGGUUUCGAUAUUUAACUAAUCAAUUGCUGUAUUUUAACUUUUGUUUUAGGGAUUAUGUUUUGGAAUCUAAACAUGGAACCUUGUCUCCGCUUCGUCGAGAUUCUAUUUUGGGGACAUUGUCCCGAGCGAAAUUGUGAACUAUGGGCUUGGUAGUGCAUGCAUUGUUGCGAGUUGGAAAAGGGGUUUUGGAUUUGUUGGAUGGGAAUGAACCUACGGGUUAAUAAGUCUUAUGACAAAGACAUGAUAGAACCAAAGAGUUCUCACAUAUUGGUACCCUCGGCUUGGAAAAGUAAAAGAAAAAGCGACAGCUUAAAUGAGACAUAAGUGGCUGAGAAUGAAAAGAACAGAGACCCUUGAUGAUUGGCUUGGUAGUGCAUGCAUUGUUGCGGGCUGUUGGCUGGGAAUGAACCUACGGGUUAGUAACAUAGAAGAACCUAAGAGUUCUCACUGUUUGGUACCCUCGGCUUGGAAAAGUAAAAGAAAAAGCGACAGCUUAUUGAGACAUAAGUGGCUGGGAAUGAAACGAAAAGAGACCCUUGGUGAUUGGCUUGGUAGUGCAUGCAUUGUUGCGGGCUGUUGGCUGGGAAUGAACCUACGGGUUAGUAACAUAAAAGAAUCUAAGAGUUCUCAAUGUUUGGUACCCUCGGCUUGGAAAAGUAAAAGAAAAAGCGACAGCUUAUUGAGACAUAUGUGGCUGGGAAUGAAACGAAAAGAGACCCUUGGUGAUUGGCUUGGUAGUGCAUGCAGUGUUGCGGGCUGUUGGCUGGGAAUGAAAAGAAAAGAGAUCCUUGACGAUUGGCUAUGGCUGGGAAUUAAAAGAAAUGAGGUGCUUGAUGAUUGGCUUGGUAGUGCAUGCAUUGUUGCGAGUUGUUGGCUGGAAUGACCCUACGGUUUAGUAACAUAAAAGAACCUAAGAGUGUCAAAAGACUAUGGAUGGGAAUGAAAAGAAAUGAGGUGCUUGAUGAUUGGCUUGGUAGUGCAUGCAUUGUUGCGAGCUUAUGGCUGGAAUGACCCUACGGUUUAGUAACAUAAAAGAACCUAAGAGUGUCAAAAGACUAUGGAUGGGAAUGAAAAGAAAUGAGGUGCUUGAUGAUUGGCUUGGUAGUGCAUGCAUUGUUGCGAGCUGUUGGCUGGGAUGAACCUACGGGUAGUAACAUAAAAGAACUUAAGAGGGCCAAAAGACUAUGGAGGAGAGCGAAAAGAAUAGAGAUCCUUGAUGAUUGGCUUGGUAGUGCAUGCAUUGUUGCGAGCUGUUGGCUGGGAUGAACCUAAGACAAAGAAAAAUAGGCAAAAGACUGCUGGAUGGUAAAAAUGACCAGCAAGGAAAAGAAGCUUUAUGAGAAGACAGUGAACUUAAAUAUUAUAAGUCAAACGACUUUGAAAAGUUGUAUGUGCUUCUGGAAAAGUGGAGAUGUGCAGAUAUUAAGACUUGAGUAGAUUCAAGUGUAGGAAACUUCUUUGACAGGUUAAUAUUCUCACUGAUGCAAAGGAUCAGGUAUAUGCUUAUCUUCUCGACUUCUCUGUGAUGAAUUGAAUUUUUUACAGAUGUACGCACACCUUAUAUAAUUAAAAUUGUUUAAUUAUGUGAGUUGUCUUACUUUCAUUACUAUCCUCGAUUUAUCAGUCAAAUUCUAGAAACGUAUUGCUAAGAUACCUUUGAUAAAAAAUAGUGAUUUUGUUUUAUA